rnacentral:rRNA from 1 species
UGGGGAAUAUUGCACAAUGGGCGCAAGCCUGAUGCAGCCAUGCCGCGUGUAUGAAGAAGGCCUUCGGGUUGUAAAGUACUUUCAGCGGGGAGGAAGGGAGUAAAGUUAAUACCUUUGCUCAUUGACGUUACCCGCAGAAGAAGCACCGGCUAACUCCGUGCCAGCAGCCGCGGUAAUACGGAGGGUGCAAGCGUUAAUCGGAAUUACUGGGCGUAAAGCGCACGCAGGCGGUUUGUUAAGUCAGAUGUGAAAUCCCCGGGCUCAACCUGGGAACUGCAUCUGAUACUGGCAAGCUUGAGUCUCGUAGAGGGGGGUAGAAUUCCAGGUGUAGCGGUGAAAUGCGUAGGAAUCUGGGGGAAUACCGGUGGCGAAAGCGGCCCCCUGGACGAAGACUGACGCUCAGGUGCGAAAGCGUGGGGAGCAAACAGG